rnacentral:lncRNA from 1 species
UGGGGAUAAGAUAAAAGGCCUUUCUCUAGACUGACAGAGCUCGGGCUUCCCAGGUGGCGCUAGUGGUAAAGAACCCGCCUGCCAAUGCAGGAGACAUAGACUGACAGAGAACUAACCUGCUGGCCAGGGUCCACUAGAAACAAAUUUGCUAGCUCCACCCUGAGGGUGGGAAGCUGGGGCCCAAGCUUUUCUCUUCUCUUGCAGCUACUUUCAUCAAUAUUUCCUCUGCAGCUGAACGGGCUGGCAGGCAACCUGCAAUGAGGCCCUGCUCAGAAGACCCCCACCUCUGCUGGACCUCCUGGCUCCUGGGAUUCAUCAGUCUCCUUCUCAAACACAAAGAAGAAAGGGUCCCUACCAUCACUGGCAUCUAGAGAGAGUCAUGGAGACGGAGGAGAUGUGCAAAGGCACAGUUUCCAAUCCUUUAGGCAUCUGCAGCACUGGGGCCAAGAGUCCUGGUGCACAUGGUUCUGGAGUUCAGGAUCCUGCAGCCCGUGUUCCCCGGCAGGGGAUCCGAGGAGGUUCUGUGUUGUUUCACGUGAUCAAGAAGCAAGAAGCUGAACCAGAGGAGGUCUCAUGGGCCUUUGGCCCUGACUCAAACUACAGUGUCCUGCUGCGAGUCCAUCGUGGGGCAGACACUCCAACCUGGGUCAGCCUCCAGGACAAGUACCAGCAGAAGGUCCAUGUGCUCAACAUCUUGUCCCUGAAGAUUGAGAAUCUGACCUGUGAGGACAGUGGACAGUACCGGGCUCGAGUCAGCUUCCCUGGAGGAGUCGAACUUACCCAGGUUUUCCUCCUCACUGUCUAUG